AUUGAACGCUGGCGGAAUGCUUUACACAUGCAAGUCGAACGGCAGCACGGGGGCAACCCUGGUGGCGAGUGGCGAACGGGUGAGUAAUACAUCGGAACGUGCCCAGUCGUGGGGGAUAACGUAGCGAAAGCUACGCUAAUACCGCAUACGAUCUACGGAUGAAAGCGGGGGAUCGCAAGACCUCGCGCGAUUGGAGCGGCCGAUGGCAGAUUAGGUAGUUGGUGGGGUAAAGGCUCACCAAGCCUUCGAUCUGUAGCUGGUCUGAGAGGACGACCAGCCACACUGGGACUGAGACACGGCCCAGACUCCUACGGGAGGCAGCAGUGGGGAAUUUUGGACAAUGGGCGAAAGCCUGAUCCAGCCAUUCCGCGUGCAGGAUGAAGGCCCUCGGGUUGUAAACUGCUCUUGUACGGAACGAAACGGCCUUUUCUAAUACAGAGGGCUAAUGACGGUACCGUAAGAAUAAGCACCGGCUAACUACGUGCCAGCAGCCGCGGUAAAGUAUCG
rnacentral:rRNA from 1 species